AGUCGAAUUUGUUAGGAUUGGUCUCUAUCUCAACUUCUCACCUCACGAGAUGUUUUAACUGAAAGAAAGCAAGCAUGUGAGCUGUGGCGCAAGCUGGUGCAAGCAAAUGAGGAAACGAUAAAUUGGGGUUAGGGCUUGCAGAUUGUAGAGCGGGGGAAACAAGGCAGGCAGGCAGGCACGUGAAGAGUUUUAGUAUGGCGCAGCGGGGGAAUCUUAGAAGCCGGUUCCCUAGACCUGGUUGAUAGAAGAAACAGGCUUUGCCGACCUAUCCCACAAUUAUUUCAUUUUUUAUCCAAAAGCAUUAUAAAAAGUUGCUCCUCAAGUUUCAAUCUUAUAACCAAAGGUCAUCAUAGUGGGUUUCAACUUUGAAGGGUCAUUAUUUAGGGGGAGAAAAUGGUUGAAUGGUUGGCGCCUGUACGCUAACUUUGGUAGCUAGAGAGGGUAUCUAAUUAAUGUUUUACAUGUCUUAUAUAUAUAUAUAUUAGCUAAACGGGUGGGCUUAAUUAGUUAGAGAGAGGUAGUUCCAUUCCCAGGAGAGAGAGAGAGAGAGAGAGAAAUGGUUUUAGUUAGCUUAGCUGUCUUGCGAUGACUUUAUGAGUCUUUUGAUCGAAGCUUGGUGGAAAGUCAUGGAUCCUUGAGAUAUAUGGAUUUCGAUGAAGGAUGCAUGGAUCUAGAUAUAUGUGGUAUGAACUAAUAACAUCCUUGCUGCUGUAGUAAUAAGAUGAUUCAUGGGAACUAUUUUCACGAUAACAAAACCUGUUAUUCGAUCAGUGUUCUUCUGCAGGUUAGAGGGCUGGAUCUCUCUUGGUCUGAAGGGUAUACUGAUCUUGUUUUUAAUCAUCUGAAUUUUCCCUUCCAAGUUCAUAUGUGUGUAUAUAUAUAUAUAUAUAUUCAGGUACUAGGGUUUUGAGUAGUAGGUAGCUAGGGGUAGAGCUAGGGUUACGGAGCAGAGCUCCUUGAAGUCCAAUAGAAGGUCUUGCUGGGUGGAUUGAGCUGCUGAGCUAUGGAUCCCACAGCCCUAUCUCAGAUCAUCAGAGGAAUAGGCUUGUGGCUUGCAUAUCUCAGGAGCUGCAUUACCUGUGUUAGAUCUUUGUUUGGAUUGAAGGGAGCUCUACACCUUUCUCUCAUCCAUCAUCUCUAAUACUUAGUAGCUAGGUUUUACACAUGUUUCCUUUUACAUGUUUUACAUUGAUUUGUACUUUCACUGCUCCUUAAUUAAUUAUUUACCCUCUUCUGGCUCCUUAAUUAAUUACCGAUGAUUGCUCUUUCAACAAGUCCUUGCUGCUUUACUGAUUCUUUAUUUACAUAGUUUUUAGAGUUUUAGGUUCAAAAUACUCAGAUCUGUGUGUUUUUACUUUAUUUUUUGUUUGUUGUAUUAACUGACAUUUCAAACCGUUGUAACAUGAUUAUAAAUAUGUAGAUCAAUGGCUUUGUAGUUUUAAAAAUUGGAUGUUUUUCCAACUCUCAAGUCGCAUUUUAUUAUUUUUUAUAUAAGUUUCGCAGUUCAGUUGGUUGCGAUUCUAGGUUCCAUUUUUUCAGCUGAUGUCAAAGUAAAAGAUUAUGUGCCUAGCAAGAAUCAGACGCGCCUGCUUCAAACGAGUCUUUGUGCACUGGAGAUGUGCAGUGCAGUGUGUAGAAGCUUGAUAGUCGCAGGUCAACUUGGGCAGUAAUGAUCGUUGACCAUUACUACAAUAAUAUCUCAAUGCUUUUUUCACACCGAGGGAGGAGCCAGCAACAUGCAAAUGUCGUCUCCUAUGAUGAAUCAGAAUUCCAUGAACCGGUUGGGAAUGGCCGGAUCGGCCAAAUGAAUCCAUGCGCGAUGGGGUUACUUCAACAUUAGGAGGUAUUGGGGUUUCAGGAGAGUGGCCGGAUAUGCAGAGAGCACCAGAUUCAUCUUGCUCCCAAAAUACUUGUACCAUAACCCCACUUGGAUAUUCUGCACAUUCCGUUCCUGGAAUCCGCACAAACCUAGCUCCUACAGGUAUCUGCAAAACCUUUAUGCGUAAAGUAACUUUUAAGCUUAAUUCCUGGUCAAUGUAAAAAUGAAAAGAGAAAACUGAUUGUGUUUUUACCUUAACUGAGGCUCCACAUGUUAAAGUGAGAGUAACCAACCUCCCCUCAGCUGUGGCAGCUUCUAGUUCUGCCUGCCAUGCGAUAUUCAAGAAGACUUCUUCAAGAGUUGUAAGUCCAAGAUGGAUGUCUACUAUGCCAUAUUCUCUUUCUCUAUCUUGAAGCUCCGCAAAAAAUCUCUGUAUUUAGGUCACAAACCUCGUAUGUCAGAUAUGCUUCUUAUUUUGCAGUUAUAUAGGAACCAGAAAAAGAUGCUAAGCAAAUUACCGUCAAAAGCCGCUCUCUAUCAUGAGGAAUAACAAAAGUCAGAAAUGCUCUGUUCUCUUC